GUCGCUACAGAGUCGAACCCGAGUCCCAGAUGGAAGUCGAGAAAGGGAAGCAAGCCAACUCCGCUGACCAAUCUCCGGCCGCUUGAUCCCUGACUGACACCGGCUGUGGCCAAUCAGAAGGUUGGUGAGCAGCAGAUGUCUGACCUGAACCUCUGAGCUCCUGAUGGUCCUGAACGUCACAUCAAGGUUUCCUCUUCAUGUCUGAAGCUCAGCAGUGAACUCCUGACCAGAUUACAUCAACACAUCUACGUGGUGCAGCAGAAGGGUUUCAUGUUUCCUCUGGGUGAUUUCCAUAGUGGUGUUGAUGACACAUAUCACCGAGUAGCAGCUUCUAGAAGAUAAAUGAAGACAAACUACAACAAGAAAAGAGGUGAAAAUCAUCCUGUUCCCCUGAUUAAAGCAGAAUAACAAGUCAACAACAACAAUAACUAAUUAAAGGUCUCUUAUUUUCCAGGUUUUUAAAUCUAACAAUUUAUGGCAAUUUUUGCGGUCAAAAUGUAUCUAUUUGUGGCUGCUUUGUGUCUGUGCAAUCAUUUUGUGUGUGUUUAUGAUUGCUUUGUGUGUCUUUCUAGUAAUUUUGUGUUUCUUUGUGGUCAUUUUGUGUGUAUUUUAGGUUGUUUUGAGUCUCUUUGUGGUCAUUUUGUGCAUAUUUUUGGUCAUUUUGUAGUUGUUCUGCAUCUGUUUCUGGUCAUUUUGUGUCUGCAUGAUCUUUUCUGUCUGUAUUUGUGAUUGUUUUGAGUGUUUUUCUGGUAAUUUUGUUUCUCUUAGUGGUCAUUUUGUGUCUCUUUGUAGUCAUUUUGCAUCUACUUCUGGUCGUUUUGUGUCACUUUACAACAAAUGAGUCAAAGUUUCUCAUGUCCCUACAAUGUUUCUUUCAGUCAGACAUAACAGGUUAUUCAAAAAGAAUAAAACAAUUUCAUUACUCAGUAUUUUAAUAAGGGCUACACAGUGGAGUAGUGGUUAGCACUUUCACCUUGCAGCAAGAAGAUCCCCGGUUUGAAUCCCGGGAUGGGCCUGGGAUCUUUC